CCUACGGGAGGCAGCAGUGGGGAAUCUUGCGCAAUGGGCGAAAGCCUGACGCAGCCAUGCCGCGUGAAUGAUGAAGGUCUUAGGAUUGUAAAAUUCUUUCACCGGGGACGAUAAUGACGGUACCCGGAGAAGAAGCCCCGGCUAACUUCGUGCCAGCAGCCGCGGUAAUACGAAGGGGGCUAGCGUUGCUCGGAAUUACUGGGCGUAAAGGGAGCGUAGGCGGAUAGUUUAGUCAGAGGUGAAAGCCCAGGGCUCAACCUUGGAAUUGCCUUUGAUACUGGCUAUCUUGAGUAUGGGAGAGGUAUGCGGAACUCCGAGUGUAGAGGUGAAAUUCGUAGAUAUUCGGAAGAACACCAGUGGCGAAGGCGGCAUACUGGCCCAUUACUGACGCUGAGGCUCGAAAGCGUGGGGAGCAAACAGGAUUAGAUACCCUGGUAGUCCACGCUGUAAACGAUGAGUGCUAGUUGUCGGCAUGCAUGCAUGUCGGUGACGCAGCUAACGCAUUAAGCACUCCGCCUGGGGAAGUACGGUCGCAAGNUUAAAACNCAAAGGAUUGACGGNNGAGACGNGCGAGACGACGACGAGGAGAGG
rnacentral:rRNA from 1 species